AGGUGUAGUUAUACAAGUCUUUAAAUUCUUGACUGCUGGAAAGGCAGUCUGAAGCUAUGAGAUGGCUAAGAUUUCUGCCUGGACUCUCCUCACCACGCUGAUACGUGGUUCGAGAAUGUGGCUAGACUACAACUAGACAACUGGAGUAUUUAAACAUCUGAUUACAUCAGUCUAUAAAGACGCUCGGGAAAGUUGCUGCUUUCCUUUCUCUCUAAAAUAUCAGCAGAUGUUCACCUCCACUUGGGCAGAGUUGCACAUUGGAGCCUCAUUAUCCAUCAUCAUAGACUUCUUGGAAUGCUUAUUACAACAGUCAGAAUCUCUCUGAUAAUGAAAAACAUUGGUAGAGGCAAAAUAUGAUCCACAGCUUCUGGUGAAGAAAAGGCAUUUGUUGGGUAGAAACACAACAACAACAAAACUCGCCCUGUUUCAAAUAGAGUUAUGAAGUGUCGAGAGGAAGACCAUAAAGGAUUUGCCAUUCUCAUGAUAUAUUUCAUGGAUACCUACGGCCAACCUGACACAUCACUGUUCGUGCUGAUUUUGACC